rnacentral:rRNA from 1 species
GACGAACGCUGGCGGCGUGCUUAACACAUGCAAGUCGAACGGAAAGGCCCUGCUUUUGUGGGGUGCUCGAGUGGCGAACGGGUGAGUAACACGUGAGUAACCUGCCCUUGACUUUGGGAUAACUUCAGGAAACUGGGGCUAAUACCGGAUAGGAGCUCCUGCUGCAUGGUGGGGGUUGGAAAGUUUCGGCGGUUGGGGAUGGACUCGCGGCUUAUCAGCUUGUUGGUGGGGUAGUGGCUUACCAAGGCUUUGACGGGUAGCCGGCCUGAGAGGGUGACCGGCAACAUGGGGACGGAGAUGGCGCCGGGCCGCCGCGGGGAGGAGGAAGGGGGGAAUAUGGAAAAGUGGGCGGAGGCUGGAGGCAGCAACGCGGGGGGGGGGAGGAGGGUCUUGGGUUUGUAACCGGCUUCCGCCUGGGACGAAGGGGGGGGGGGGUAAAGGGGAAAAGAGGCACGGGCAAAGUAGGGC